rnacentral:rRNA from 1 species
GACGAACGCUGGCGGCGUGCUUAACACAUGCAAGUCGAACGGAAAGGCCCUGCUUUUGUGGGGUGCUCGAGUGGCGAACGGGUGAGUAACACGUGAGUAACCAGCCCUUGACUUUGGGAUAACUUCAGGAAACUGGAGCUAAUACCGGAUAGGAGCUCCUGCUGCAUGGUGGGGGUUGGAAAGUUUCGGCGGUUGGGGAUGGACUCGCGGCUUAUCAGCUUGUUGGUGGGGUAGUGGCUUACCAAGGCUUUGACGGGUAGCCGGCCUGAGAGGGUGACCGGCCACAUUGGGACUGAGAUACGGCCCAGACUCCUACGGGAGGCAGCAGUGGGGAAUAUUGCACAAUGGGCGGAAGCCUGAUGCAGCAACGCCGCGUGCGGGAUGACGGCCUUCGGGUUGUAAACCGCUUUCGCCUGUGACGAAGCGUGAGUGACGGUAAUGGGUAAAGAAGCACCGGCUAACUACGUG